CCUGGGGAUUUUUUUGGGGGGGGGGAAAGCAUUGUACGGGGUUGGUUUGGGCUGUUGCACGCCGGGUUGUGCUGUCUCGCCCUGCGCCGUGCCGCGUUGCACUGGGUUGGGGUGGGUCGUGUUGCAUUGCGUUGCCUCCAAGUGUGUUGCAGCGCGGUGUGCGCGCAAAGUUCGCUCCUGUCUGGGGGGGGUCUGGCCCCUAUGGGCACCUCACAGCACUCCCCUCACCCCAAUCCCCCUCCCCAAUACCUCGCCCCUAGCCGGUGCCCAGCGGUCGCUGCUCUGCGGAGGGGGGGGCUCUGCCCAUGAGAAGAGGGUGGAGGCAUUGGGGGGGGGGGGGGGCUCCAAAAGGGCCCCCCCCCCCCCCCCCAGCGCAGAUCUGCACAGGAAUUUGCAGGGGGGGGGGGGGCACGCCGAGGACAAAGAGCCGCUCGGGGGGGGGGGGGGGGGGCGAUAUCCCUGCGGCAGGGUCCCCCCGGCCCCCCAGCACCCUGCAGACCCCGCUCCAUCCGCAACUUGGGUGAAGUUGUGCCCCGGUGCCGCAGCCUGGCGGUGCCCGUGCCGGAGAGCAGCCGCGCUGCUGCCACCGCCGCCACCACCGGAAAGUUUGCGGGCCUCACGACAUCGCAGCAAACCUUUCCCCGGGCACACACCGGGCUCCAGGAACCCCAUCAGGUGCCUCCAGCUUGGGCACGCCGAGCAGCACCAGCAGGGUGCAGGAGCACCCAGCCCCAGGACGCUUGGUGGGUGGGUAAGGGGGUGCCCAGCUUGCUGGGGGAGGCCGAAGGGUGUGGGCACAGCACCAGGUGCCACCACGAUGGCAUCCCCAUGCCUGUGCUUUCCCAGCCCCCCCGCCCAGACCCACCUUGGUGGGAGCAUGAUGGAUGUGUGCGGGAAAGGAGGGGGGGGCGCAGCGUUAUUAACAGCCUGGGUAUUGCUCCAACAGGGCUGUAAAAAUUAAAGGCGUGUGGAUAUAAAAUAAUGGAUAAAUCUGAGCCGGCCGCAGAGUUGCUGCGGUGUCCCAGGGGAGCUGGCAGCUGCAGGAGGGAGGGUGCAGCAAACCUGGGACGGGGACCUGUGGGUGGGCACGGGGGGGAGGUCAGGCAGCACCUACACCAAGUGCGAUUUUCCAGUGCAAAUGUCCCAAGUGCCCCGAGGAGCUGCAAUGCCAACCUGUGGAGCUGGCACCGCCAGAAGCUGCUCUUGAAGCUGGGCUAGAAGAAAAAAGGGGCUGAGCAUCGGCAGGCUGGGCUGGUGGGGGCACGGGGAGUUUGUUCCAGGAUGCCCACAAGCACUGCCCGGCCCCAAGAGCAGCGGCGGUGCCCUGUGCCCCGGUGACAACGCACCCAAUUUUGGGCAGGGCCAGGCUGGUGGGACCCCCCCCAGGUCCUGCCCACCCUGCAGCCCCCAGCCCUGACCCCCAGCAGCCCCCUCCUCGCCAGCCCCACGGGCCACCCCGCCGGCAUCCUCAUUUUCCCCGAGAUUAGCCGCGGCGCGGGAGCCUCCGCGCACCGCCAGCAGGUGACAAAUAAGAUUUUUCCACUCUCCCGAGCACCCGGCAUGGGUCUGUCAUUGAAAAUGCAAAGCAGCGCGGUGCCAACCUCCGCCACCCGCCCUCCCCUCUGCCAGCCCCUCGGUGCUGAGCGCCCGGUGGCCGAAGCCCCCAUCGUUGGACCCCCAAAAUGCCACCCGCUCCCCGAUGGCGGGGCCAGGCGUGAGCCAUGGGUGUCCUCCUGCCUGGUGUGGAAAGGUUCUGGGGGGGGUUAAAGGGUGCUAUUUUGGGGGUGUCAGCCUUGGUGGGGCAUCAGCGUCCCUUUGGUGG
rnacentral:lncRNA from 1 species